rnacentral:lncRNA from 1 species
GAGAUGGCGAGGAGAGUUGGUAACAUGAGUAGUUGCACCAGAAUCUGAGAACCACUCAUGGCCAGAGCUGUUGGUAACGUCUGUGAUGCGGAGCGCAGCUAAGGCCUGAGGCAUUUCGUCAAGCUGGUAACUGUUGUCAAACCUAUGCCAACAACGUAGUGCGGGAUGGCCUGGUUUACCACAGAUUUGGCAUAUGGGACGUGAAUCAGAUUC